AGGAAAGCAACGACGACGACGAACGAUAACAAACCCAUCAAAGUCCGUUACAUAUCGAAUCCCAUGAGAGUUGAGACUUGCCCUUCUAAGUUCAGAGAGCUUGUUCAAGAACUCACCGGUCAAGACGCCGCCGAGCUACCUCCGGAGCCCACCACUUACGCCGCCGCAGAUCCCCAACAAGAGGAGAUAAAUCCUGAGCCGUUGGAAGAAGGGGUCAGUGAGUAUUAUUCACCGUUGGAUGAAGAAGUUUUUAGUGCUCCUCAAAUGUCGGCAGGUCUGUCUGCGUUUUUCUCGUCUGGGUUUUACAAUGUGAAUGCCUUAGGGAGCAUUGGCUCUCUCUGAAAAUCUUAUAUAUAUAUAUAUAUAUAUUUAAAAGUUGUCACACCGAUCAGAAGAAGAAAUCGUCUUAUAGUUUAGGGUUUCGUCGAUACCUAUAUAUAUGGAUAUAUAACAUAUGGAUUCUGUUUUUCUUCUUUCGUUUGGUUUGUGGUGAAUUAUUUGUGUUUGUGAGUAAAUAAAUCGUGUUCAUUUCAAGGAAGAAAUAUUGUAUUUUUUGUUUUAUAAUCGAAAUUUUGAAGUAACAUGUCAACAUUUUCAUUAUUGAAACAUAUUGAAUUAGUUGGGUGGCAAUAAUUCUGUAAUCAAUUCGAUCUCCGAUGUAGAAAAUGAUCGGGAAUGAAACGGAAAAAGAAACAUCUAAAGCUUUUAUGUUAUUAUGGACUUUAGCAGAACAUUUGGAUAGAUCAUAGGUGUAUGAUGUGUCUCUUUUCUUUUUGGAUUUUUGAAAGAUUUUUAUUUUUGCAUGGCCCCAUCUUUAUGUAAUAGAAGUACAGAACUAUAUAGCAAUAAAUAAUUGUUUUUCAAAUUUCCAUGAAAUCAUAUAUAGUAUAGUCUAAUAUAGAGAACAUUUAGGAUAUAUGCAAGUCUUAUGCAGUUUGUGUAACUAUUUUGCGAUUUAAAAACAUUAAACCCCGAAACUAAAGUAAUAUGUUGCUUGACUCGGUUGUGUUCUUCAGUAAUUUAUAAAGUUUUUAAAGCUUAUAAUUACUUUCCUCACGGUGAAAGGUUAUAUAGUAGUCUAAUAUAGUGAACAUUUAGGAUAUAUGUAAGUCUUACGCAGUUUGUGUAACGAUUUUGCGAUUUAAAAACAUUAAACCCCGAAACAAAAGUAAUAAGUUUCUUAAGUCGGUUGUGUUCUUCUGUAAUUUAUAAAGUUUAUAAAGCUUAUGAUUACUUUCCUCACGAUGAAAGGUUAUACUUCAUAAUACAAAGUACAAACACAAAGAAAUGUAAGUUUUUCUCAGUUGAAAUUCUGGACACUCUAGUUCUUACAAGGUACCCAUGUAAUGUUCUCUAUGUUCAUAUCCUGAAUACAUUAGUCUUUUAACCUCAAGGUGAUUUACUAUAAUUUAUCGAACAUUUCUGGAUGCAAAUUAUAUUUCAGCGAAGACGAUAGAAGAUAUGAAUUAGCUUCUUCAGUAUAAAAAAAUAUGUAGACUGUAGCAUCCAUUCGGAACCUCCGCUUAUAUUUUAGUGUCUUGACGCUUGUUUCGCAGGGCCAAUAAAUCCAACUUGCUUAGUAUUUGUCAACAAGAAUUGACUUGUUAGUACAUAGUUUAUUAUCUAUAUACGUAAUUCUAUGACUAUCUAUGACGUGUCAUCAUCCUUCCAUCAUAUUACUGAUUUAAGAAAUCUAAUAAGUUUGCUCCAAAAGAAAAAAAGAAAUCUAAUAAGUUUGUAUUCAAAUGAAAUGUACCUUACUGUCAAUAAAGGUAUAUGAACACCACCAAUUCCAUAUAGAAGAGCUACCAUUGUAUAUCAGAACAUACAUUAAACCACUGCUUUAUAAUUUCUGGAAGUCAUUGUUACUCGCUCAUGAGAUAUUUCAUGAAAUCGCAGCCCUUUUGUCAAAAAAAAAUUGCAUUCAUUAGAAACGAAAACCAAUAUUCAUAACAAAAGUCAUCUAGCAAAUAAUAAAAAAGUCAACUAACAGUGAAAAUCUUUAUAGUAUGUAUUUAUGAAACACUCUAUUGGUUGAACAAUUAAAACAUUUGGCAGGACCGACAACCUUCAAGUGUCGUUACUUCCAUCCACCAAGUUUUGUCGGCUAUGAUGAGACUUGGGAUAUUUGGGUAAAUGAUUAAAUCAUUAAAUGAAGAAUACUAAUUAUGGUUUCAUACUAAUUUUUUAAAAAUUCUUCGAUUAAUCAUGUGCACAUUUUGAUUAAGUAAAAAGUUUCCAUUAUAUAAUAUUCAAGUUUAUAUUUUUAUUAAUUAUUUAAAGAACAUUUCGAAACAAAAAUUGAAUUUUUGCAGUUCUUAAAUUAUGAUAUUUUCUAAGAUUUAAGCCUUUAGUCCAAAAAAAAAUGUCUAAGAUUUAUUCUCUCUAAAAUAAAACUGGUGUAGAGAGAGAGAAAUCUUAGAAAAUAUCAAAAUUUCGAAACAAGCUAGGCCCAAUAUUCCACUGUCUUCUUUCUUAGGUUUACGUUGCUCACAAGCUUAAACCAGAGACAGCCAUCUUCAUCACCGACGAGAAAACCACCGAAGCAAAAGAGGAAAGCAACGACGACGACGAACGAUAACAAACCCAUCAAAGUCCGUUACAUAUCGAAUCCCAUGAGAGUUGAGACUUGCCCUUCUAAGUUCAGAGAGCUUGUUCAAGAACUCACCGGUCAAGACGCCGCCGAGCUACCUCCGGAGCCCACCACUUACGCCGCCGCAGAUCCCCAACAAGAGGAGAUAAAUCCUGAGCCGUUGGAAGAAGGGGUCAGUGAGUAUUAUU
rnacentral:lncRNA from 1 species